UACGUAGGGGGCUAGCGUUGUCCGGAUUUAUUGGGCGUAAAGAGCGUGUAGGCGGCCAGGUAGGUCCGCUGUGAAAGUCCGAGGCUCAACCUCGGAAUGUCGGCGGAAACCCUCUGGCUAGAGUCCGGAAGAGGAGAGUGGAAUUCCCGGUGUAGCGGUGAAAUGCGCAGAUAUCGGGAAGAACACCCGUGGCGAAGGCGGCUCUCUGGGACGGUACUGACGCUGAGACGCGAAAGCGUGGGGAGCGAACAGG
rnacentral:rRNA from 1 species